GUUAGACUCCUGAAUUACAUAAAUAACGAUCAUAGCGAUUCGUCGAAUAUCUUUCUACUUCGAUUCUCUAAUGUAGCCGCACUUCGGUUUCUAAGAGGUAACAAAUUCACAUUCUGUCUUUUAUUUUUGGUGUGUGUUGGUUUUUAGUUGUUGUCUGUUUCACAUUUCCUCCAUCAUCUGUUCGAUUGAAGAAUCAUCAAGUUCAAAACAUGAUUAAGAUCUGAAUUGGUCAGAUAUCAUCUGAUAAUGUUGGAUGAUUUUUCCUUUUUUCUUUUACAUUAUUGAUAAUAUUGGGUGAUUUUUUAUCCUUUCUUUUGCUUUGAAUGAAAAUCUAAAAACUAACCAUUACAUAAGGAAACAUUUUACUAAGUCACAACAACAAUCAGUUAUGUGCUACUGGAAGAUGGUUGGAGAAAUAAUUCAUGGCCACCAACAGCAACUGUAAGAAAGAGUUUUCUUUGGGAAGUAAUAAGUCUUUCCAAGGAAAUAAGCUCUUAUGGAGAAAGUUGCUCGAAAAGUGAUUUUUGCACCCCGGAGGACAACUGCUAAACGGACCCCUACUUUGGAUAAGAGGCACCUCAAUUAUUAAAGGGCACCUUCCUUACUUUUUACACCCCAUAAGGCAAGUGCUAAAGGGACACCCAUAUUGGAUUAGGGGGAGGACAUCUUCUUCCCAAUUUCAAAUUCUGCAAAUUGGCGGGAAUUUCUGCGAGCAGUGAACCAGAUUAGGGUUCGGGUUUUGGAGUUAUUCUAUGGAGAUUCAAUCGAAGAAUAUGGCUGGGAUGGACUUGGACUGACUGAACAUGGCUGGUAACUCCGUUCGAUUCAAUCAGUUUGGGCCAGAUAUCGAACUUGAAGAUAAAACAGGGAAAACGGUGUGUCACCUGCGAUAUUCCCUGUAUUGAUUUUGGGAAAUAUUUGGUUGGAUUUCUCUCUUUUUUUGGUUAUAUACCAUCCUGUUACAUCACAACAGAAUUGGUAAUUACUUUGAAUUUGAUCAGAGGGAAAGAUUUCACGGAAUCUCGUUAAACAGGGAAGUCUUUUGUUCUCGGGUUACUGUGAGUUGUAUAUGGAAUGUUUGAGGAUCAAAGAGGGAGUAUAUCUUCUUUGUUAAUGUUUUGCUCUAUCUUUGGAAGGAUUGACAGCUCAAAGACGCAUGCAUAAGGUGUGAAGCAGAUAAGGAUUGAAGAAAACAGAGGUUGAAUAUAUUUUGGAGAUUCUGUUGGAAGAUAUGUAUUGAUUUAGAGAAAAUAUCGACCUAGUAUUAUAUUCUGCAUUGUUUGGGACAAAUUUGGAGAAUCACUAAACGUAAAGAUAUGAAAGAGGAAUCAUUUUCGUAGCAUGCAGAGAAGAUUUUAUUCUUGGGUUUUCUUUGGUUUGGGAAUGGAAAGAUCGUGGUUGGAACAUGGAAGAAUAUCUUCUCACAUCAGUUUUAAUCAAUCUAAGAAGUGCAUUCAUGUGUUUGGAGUAUGUAUCCAUGAGCAGAAGCGUGAAAGAGAAAAGAAGAAAAUUCCCGAUAAAAUAAUGAAAUUUAUUUCGAAGAUAUUUUGGAGUUAUUGCAAGGAUUUUGUCGACCCGUUGAGUAUAAAUAGUGUGUUGUGGAGCAGAGAGGGAUCAUCUAGAGUUGGGGAGAAGAGUAUAGGAUUGCAGAGAAGAUUUUUCUGCUGCUGCAGAAAAGAAGAAGAAGAAGAACAAACUACACUUGUAGUCUGUCGUUUAGAACUAUCACUGUUUCUUCCAAGAACGACAGUUUUUUGCGACAGAACAAAACAAUUGUUUUCUAUCACAAUCAUUUUAACAGUCUUGUAACGGCUUUACAGUGUUGCGAAACUCAGUUUUCUUAUCUUUUCACCUCUUGUAAGCACUUUUGAGUAAUAAAAAUGAAUUUUAAGCGUGUCUACAA